AGAGUUUGACCUGGCUCAGGAUGAACGCUAGCGGCAGGCUUAACACAUGCAAGUCGAGGGGUAACGGGGUGCUUGCACCGCCGACGACCGGCGCACGGGUGAGUAACGCGUAUACAACCUACCUUAUAGAGGGGGAUAGCCCAGGGAAACUUGGAUUAAUACCCCAUGGCACCAUAGGACCACCUGGUUUUAUGGUUGAACAUUUAUGGCUAUAAGAUGGGUAUGCGUCCCAUUAGCUGGUUGGUAGGGUAACGGCCUACCAAGGCAUCGAUGGGUAGGGGCCCUGAGAGGGGGAUCCCCCACACUGGUACUGAGACACGGACCAGACUCCUACGGGAGGCAGCAGUGAGGAAUAUUGGACAAUGGGGGCAACCCUGAUCCAGCCAUGCCGCGUGCAGGAAGACGGCCCUAUGGGUUGUAAACUGCUUUUGUACGGGAAGAACCGCCACGCUCGUGAGCGUGGUUUGACGGUACCGUAAGAAUAAGGAUCGGCUAACUCCGUGCCAGCAGCCGCGGUAAUACGGAGGAUCCGAGCGUUAUCCGGAAUCAUUGGGUUUAAAGGGUCCGUAGGCGGAAAGAUAAGUCAGUGGUGAAAGUCGGUAGCUCAACUAUCGAAUUGCCGUUGAAACUGUUUUUCUUGAGUUAUUGUGAAGUGGUUGGAAUAUGUAGUGUAGCGGUGAAAUGCAUAGAUAUUACAUAGAACACCGAUUGCGAAGGCAGGCCACUAACAAUACACUGACGCUGAUGGACGAAAGCGUGGGUAGCGAACAGGAUUAGAUACCCUGGUAGUCCACGCCGUAAACGAUGGUUACUAGCUGUCCCGGGCACAAUACGUUGUGUUUGGGUGGUUAAGCGAAAGUGAUAAGUANCCCACCUGG
rnacentral:rRNA from 1 species